rnacentral:lncRNA from 1 species
UCUUGAGUAUGUAUUUUUUACUGAAAAAAUCAUUCAUAAAUUAACAUACAAAAAUGUACAAACACAUGAGUAAAUAAUGUAAUGACAAAGGACUAUUUUUGUGAAAAGUGUUUUUUAAAACAUCUUUAGAUUUCAGUGCAAAAAUGUACCCCUGGCACCUCUUAAAACGUAAGAGCAAGCUCAAAAACACGUAGUGAUGGAAAUAAGCUAGCUACGCUCAAUGCCAUCGUCAAUGGUGAGUGGAUACAAUCAAUCCAUGUGGCUCCUGCUCAGCUAUUAAUGUCUGUGGUAGAGCAUCUCUGACAAGAGGACCUAUUAUGUCAAAAUGAGUAUUCUUGCAAAUACCCCCCCACCCCCCAAAACAGCAUGAACAAACGGGGACACCUUUCCCUGCACACAGCAAUCAAAGACAAGAUUAAGGGGCCACCCAUCAGUAGCCUUGAAGAUUUUCAGCUACCAAUAUAUGCACAAGGUCACAUUUGGUUCCUGUUUUUUUUUUUUUAACAUGACAAUUUCACACUAUUAACAGCACACGGGCCUGGCUGUACGUUUUUAACUAUGACAUUUCCCAUAUGAUAUUCGAGGCCUGGUGGACACAUGACUGACAGUGCACAUCCAGAGAUUCCACACUCAUCAGACACAGACAUGACUGCAAAGGUAUCAAAGUGACCCCACUUUAAGCAGUGAAAAAAGACCUUUCCUUUUGUUCUCAAAUCAGCAUUUUCUAAAGUCAGGUGUUAGCCUUUUGCCAACAGUGUGUACUUGAUGGUAAUUAUGGUAACGUAGAGCUUCAAACAAGAUCGCCUGACAACACUGCCGCAUACACACACGGCACCCAGGACUCAGAAUCAGUCUGUCCUGGCAAAUCCUUCCAAAUGACAUCAUAGUGUUGUCACAUUGAAAGCAACUCACAGCCUUCAGUGAGGAAAGGGGAGAGGAGAAUGAGAAGGGGAGAAAAGCCAAGGCAGGGACAAAGGCCCGGUGGGGGAUGGGGGUUGCAGGGUGGAGGGGGGUCUUUAUUGCUAUAUGCACCAUAAAACAAAGGAAAACCAAAUGAACUUCUGUGUGUAAUGUUCACUUGUGAAGGUAUUUUAAAGCAUGAAAUGCUUAAGUCUUAAAAAACAUAUGCUAUAGCUUACCGGCAUUUUCAAGGGCAGGAACCUGCUCUCUCAUAUGAGCCGAUAAGAGCUUUGCAAUGCAAUUUAUUUUCUAAAUACCACUCUAUUCUUCAAAAGAACAACACAAACAAACAAACACACAAAAAACAAGGCCUGGCCAAUCACUCCCACAGUUUGUGGGGAUCAUAUGUCCACAGAACCAUCACAUGCAACGAAAAAAGCCCUAACCCACACACAUACACACACACACACACACCCCUACACACACCCAUGUAAACUAUGAAAAUCAAGGAAGUUGAAGGCAAACAAGGCAAUUAAAAAAAAAUACGAAGUACUCUUCAGAAAGUACUCCUCAUCACAAUAUAUAAAUAUGUUUUAUGGAAAACAAGGGCGGGGGAGGAAAACUGGCAUUUUCCAGAAUUCUGCAGAAGCCGACAGAGACUACAAUUUGAGGGCUUUGGUUUGGGGAAAAACAAAGAGGCACAAAUUCAAAUACAAUUUAGAAUAUGACUUCAAGGCUGGGAGCAAUGGCUCACACCCGCCCAUAAUCCCAGCACUUUGGGAAGUCAAGGUGGGCGGAUUGCUUGAGUCUAGGAGUUCGAGACCAGCCUGGGCAACAUGGAAGAAACCCCCGUCUCUACUAAAAAUACAAAAAAUUAGCCAGGUGUGGUGGUGUGCACCUGUAGUCCCAGCUACUCGGGAGGCUGAGGUGGGAAAAUGGCUUGAGCCUAGGAGAUGGAGGCUGCAGUGAGCUGUGAUCGUGCCACCACACUCCAGCUUAGGCGACAGAGCCAGACCGUCUUAAAAAACAAAAAAUAAUAUGACUUCAAAAUGCAGGUGGGGGUGUGAGCAGUGCACCUGGGCUCUUGCUGUCUGGAGCUUUAUUAGUCUAAUUUCAAAGCUUCAAUCCGGUCUUACCUGGAUCCCAGCUGCCCCACAGCACACAAGUGUCACCAGCUCCCUGGCUCCUGGCUCCCUAUUUGAGUGCUCCUUGGUUCUAUGUUUCAGUUACUAAUGUUGACAAAGAAUCUUUCCAGAAACCAAAAAGGGACACAGAGGAAUCACUGAAGCCAGCUGGUAAUGUAGGCACAUUGUUCAGAAACUGUGGCCAAGUUCCACAAGAGAAAAAGAAAGAGGGGGAGGGAUUCCCAUACACACCCCCGCCCCCCGCCCCCCGCCCCGCCAUACUGAUGAAAAGACAGAACACGAAGCCUGGAGAGCCAGAGAUGUGUAUGCAGCGAGCCCCGAAGGGCCUGCUUUAGGCAGGAAGCAGCCUGCUCUAACAGCAGCCUCCCGCUUAGCGGAGAGUGGGAUGAGCACGUGCGCGGCCGACAGGGAAGAGUGAAUCCAGAGUCAUGUGUAGGGACAGGCUCCACGGCAGGACCACGGCAGAUCACAGUUCAUCAUGGGUUCUGAAGACUGCGGCUAAGACAGGAUGUGGGGUAGGAGAUGGGGAGAGAGCAGCGGGACAGACGUCUGUCUUGUGAAAACAGAAAGCCAGUGCUGACGAAGGAAGUCCCCAAGCUCACUCCCUCAGUUCCAGCGGCUGAUCCAGUGAAGGCGUUUGUGCGUGUGCUGUCACAUUUUCCCCCUGAACUCUGUGAUCCUUCAUGAGACACGGUAUUUCUGUUCUCUUGCUGUAUAGACCCUCCCCCCUCCAAAAAAAAAUCUCAUCGGACUGCUUUCUUGGUGGCGGUGGGUAAAGCAAACGUACAUUCUCUCCUCUCAGUACUCGUUCACCUGAGCCAGCUCGGGUGUCAGGUUGACAGUUAUGUUUUUAUACAAGGCGUCGUAUGUGAUGUUUGCAAAGUAGUUCAGGUUGUUGAGGCCAUCCAGCCCUUGCCGUUCUUUUGACUUCCUCAGCAGAGCAUACCUGU